rnacentral:rRNA from 1 species
GAACAAAUCCCGAUGUACAGGAAGGAGGCAUCUUCUUUCUGUGAAACAUCCUUUAGGGGAUGGGGCGCGGAUGGACCUGCGGUGCAUUAGUUGGUUGGCGGGGUAAAGGCCCACCAAGACGAUGAUGCAUAGCCGGCCUGAGAGGGCGGACGGCCACAUUGGGACUGAGACACGGCCCAGACUCCUGCGGGAGGCAGCAGUAGGGAAUUUUCGUCAAUGGGCGCAAGCCUGAACGAGCGAUGCCGCGUGAGUGAAGAAGGCCUUCGGGUCGUAAAGCUCUGUUGCGGGGGAAAAAAGGCAGCAUCAGGAAAUGGGUGCUGACUGAUGGUGCCCCGCCAGAAAGUCACGGCUAACUACGUGCCAGCAGCCGCGGUAAUACGUAGGUGGCGAGCGUUAUCCGGAAUGAUUGGGCGUAAAGGGUGCGCAGGCGGUCCUGCAAGUCUGGAGUGAAACGCAUGAGCUCAACUCAUGCAUGGCUUUGGAAACUGGAGGACUGGAGAGCAGGAGAGGGCGGUGGAACUCCAUGUGUAGCGGUAAAAUGCGUAGAUAUAUGGAAGAACACCAGUGGCGAAGGCGGCCGCCUGGCCUGUUGCUGACGCUGAGGCACGAAAGCGUGGGGAGCAGAUAGGAUUAGAUACCCUAGUAGUCCACGCCGUAAACGAUGAGGACCAAGUGU